UUUCAUUGUUGGGUCACGUCUUGAGAGAGAGAGAGGAAGGAGAGAGAAAAUUUUGGGUUGGUACCGCUAAGCUUAUCUCUUCUGUCUUCUCUUUCUCUCUCUUCUCUCCUCUCUCUCUCUUUCUCUCUCCCCUUCCACAGACGACAGAACCCCAUUGCCGUCUGUGUUUUACUUUUUCUCAUUCUCUUUUUCUCUUUUCCUCUUGCGGUCUCACUUAACCACGAUCUCUCUCUUAUCCUCCCUGUGGUCCUCAUGACCACAACCUUCCCCUCUCCUUCCUUGUGGUCCAGCAUGACCACUAUCUCCCCCUUUUCUUUUUCUUUUAUCUCUUGCAUGACCAUUUUCUUCCUGUGCACCCUUAGGCUCACCUACCCCUUCUUUUUCUGGUAGUACCUCAUGUUGUUUCCCUUUCUCUUCUUUUUCUGAAUUUCGUUACAUCACCCUUUUAGAUGAACCCUCACGUUCCCAUUUUUCCACUCACAACCCAUGGUCCCAAACGACCACCAUUCCUAAGCUUUUCCUUCCCCAUCGCCCGUGAGCGCCCAUCUUACCUAUAGUCGUGUGAACCUAUCUUACCUAUCACCGUGCGCGCAACAGACCCAUAUCUAUUGCCGUGUGUGCAACAAAACCCAAUGCCGUGUGUGACCUAUCCUCACCUAUCGUCAUGUGCAACCUAUCAUCUCCUAUCGCCGUGUGUAACCCAUCCUUCCCUUAUGCCAUGUGCAACCUAUCCUCCCCUAUCGCUGUGUUUGCAAAGCCACCACCCAACGCCGUGUGUGCAAGCCACCACCCACCGUCGUGCGUGAUCUCCACACCACAACUGCAGCCGGCUGAAACUCCCUGCUACACUAUUUCCUUCUCGCUCAGUUACGCCUCAGCCCCCUCUCUCUCGGCUAGCAGCAUCACCGUCUCCACUUCUGUCACUGCUUUCUCUCUCUCUCUAGCUCUCUGCCCUCAACCAUCUUUCACUACCAUAACCACCCACUUGUUAUUCACGUAGCCUUUCCAUCUACUCUUAACCCAAGCACUCCCACUCUCCUCCCCAAUUACUGCUACACUCCAUUCUAGCAAUUCUUCCACCGCCAUUUUCAUCCAUCCUCCAUCUGCAGCCCAUCCGCCUCUUCCUCCAUCUUCACUUUUCUCUAGUCUGCCACAAUCUUUCACCCCUCAAUCACAGCGACCAUCACUUACCUUGCUGGUCCACCAUUAACAACUCUCCCACCGUUUUCUCAGCCACCGGCAGCCAGUCGUUGUUCUCUCUUUCCACCUCAUGCGGUUAUCCUCGCCUCUUCCAUCCACCAACACUCCCUCUACCCUGCACCUCUUUCACUCCUCUCUCCUUACCCUUCUCUUCUUCAUGAUCACCUGCUUGAACCAGGCGACACCAUAACUGUCAUUGCCACCCUCUUUCUCCUCCUCCUUCCUCUCAGCCUGCUGUUCCAGGCAGCAGUUGAAUCGUAAUCGCCACCACUCAUAGCCUCAUAUCUCCUCACUCCACCGAGUCUUCUCCUCCACCAGCUGCAACCUUCGCUUGACCCCCAUUCUCUCCCUUCCACCUUCACUUGCUGCCCUCUGCUCUCCCAUGGUUUCCUUCCCCUUCGCUUUCUCUCACUAGAAACCCACAAGGUAAAAACCCAUGAACAAAACCCACUUCCCCUUUUCUUCUUUUUUGCACUUUUUCUUUUCAUUGUAGGAUUGCGUUUCUCUCACCUUAUGUCAUUCAACCCAACAAAACGCAAACCCAACGUGCCUCUCUUUCUUUCAUAGAAAACCCAAUAAUACAUUUCUCUCUUUCUC
rnacentral:lncRNA from 1 species